AGUUGCUUUACAGUGUUCAGAGGAGAACUUGGCCUAUUCAUUGUCUCUCGCUACUCCUGCCAUCCCAUCUGUCAUGCUGCAAAUUUCCUAGGUGCAAGACUCCUGUGACCAGAAGUUUCUUCCUGGAUCACUGUCCACUAGAGUGCUUAUAAACGUCCGAGGUGGGCACGGAAGGAUCCGUUUGGCUGAUGCAGUCUUAAACAUCUCUACACUUUUCCUUCCGCGGUGGGCCACUUUCCGGGCAAUGUGGUGGCCGGCAGAGAUCCGAGCAGGGGAGCCCAGAAACCAGAGGUUUGGGUUGUGUUUCUGCAUUCUGUCCAGCUGUGCCCCCUCCCCAAUUUAUCCUUGAAAUGGGCAGUAACGGCGCCUGACCGGUAGGUGGCGCUCUGACGGGCGGGUUUAAGCAGCAGGUUGCUGGCUGGGGAAGCGAAUUCCGGGCGCUGCAAGUCCGCCUCCGCGGGGACUCGCUCCCCAGGAGCUUCGCGUGCACAGACAGGCUGCGGAAGGGACUGAACACUGAGCGUCUAUAAAUCACAGUCAUCCUCUGGUCCUCCACGCUUCCUGCCGCUCUGGGUGCUUUUAUUUUCUUCUCUCUCGUAAGAGAUCUGGCUCUUUUUCUUUCCUUUGUAAGUCCAAUUCCAGGUCAACCUCUACCCCGCUACUUUCCUCCUUACCGUCCUAAAGGAAGCUUUCAGUGUGGCCCUUCCCGGGUGCAGGUCUGGGUGGCGCCGGCCGGGG
rnacentral:lncRNA from 1 species